rnacentral:rRNA from 1 species
CAGUCGCCGCGGUAAUACGGAGGGUGCAAGCGUUAAUCGGAACUACUGGGCGUAAAGCGUGCGUAGGCGGUGAGUUAAGUCUGCUGUGAAAUCCCCGGGCUCAACCUGGGAAUGGCAGUGGAUACUGGCUCGCUAGAGUGUGUCAGAGGAUGGUGGAAUUCCCGGUGUAGCGGUGAAAUGCGUAGAGAUCGGGAGGAACAUCAGUGGCGAAGGCGGCCAUCUGGGACAACACUGACGCUGAGGCACGAAAGCGUGGGGAGCAAACAGGAUUAGAUACCCGCGUAGUCCCUGUCUCUUAUAC